rnacentral:miRNA from 1 species
UUAAAUAAUCUUGUACUGCU